GGCCUUGACAUACUAAGAACUUUCCAGAGAUGGAUUGGUGCCUUCGGGAACUUAGAUACAGGUGCUGCAUGGCUGUCGUCAGCUCGUGUCGUGAGAUGUUGGGUUAAGUCCGCAACGAGCGCAACCCUUUUCCUUAUUGCCAGCGGGUAAUGCCGGGAACUUUAAGGAUACUGCCAGUGACAAACUGGAGGAAGGCGGGGACGACGUCAAGUCAUCAUGGCCCUUACGGCCAGGGCUACACACGUGCUACAAUGGUCGGUACAAAGGGUUGCUACCUCGCGAGAGGAUGCUAAUCUCAAAAAGCCGAUCGUAGUCCGGAUCGCAGUCUGCAACUCGACUGCGUGAAGUCGGAAUCGCUAGUAAUCGCGGAUCAGAAUGCCGCGGUGAAUACGUUCCCGGGCCUUGUACACACCGCCCGUCACACCAUGGGAGUUUGUUGCACCAGAAGUAGGUAGUCUAACCGCAAGGAGGACGCUUACCACGGUGUGGCCGAUGACUGGGGUGAAGUCGUAACAAGGUAAGCGUAGAUGA
rnacentral:rRNA from 1 species